UACGAAGGGGGCUAGCGUUACUCGGAUUGACCGGGCGUAAAGGGCGCGUAGGCGGAUGGUACAGUCAGACGUGAAAUUCCUGGGCUCAACCUGGGGGCUGCGUUUGAUACGUGCUGUCUGGAGUUCGGAAGAGGGUCGUGGAAUUCCCAGUGUAGAGGUGAAAUUCGUAGAUAUUGGGAAGAACACCGGUGGCGAAGGCGGCGACCUGGUCCGAUACUGACGCUGAGGCGCGAAAGCGUGGGGAGCAAACAGG
rnacentral:rRNA from 1 species